rnacentral:rRNA from 1 species
GACGGGUGAGUAACACGUGGGAACGUACCUUUCGGUUCGGAAUAAUUCAGGGAAACUUGGACUAAUACCGGAUACGCCCUUCGGGGGAAAGAUUUAUCGCCGAUAGAUCGGCCCGCGUCUGAUUAGCUAGUUGGUGAGGUAAAGGCUCACCAAGGCGACGAUCAGUAGCUGGUCUGAGAGGAUGAUCAGCCACAUUGGGACUGAGACACGGCCCAAACUCCUACGGGAGGCAGCAGUGGGGAAUAUUGGACAAUGGGCGCAAGCCUGAUCCAGCCAUGCCGCGUGAGUGAUGAAGGCCUUAGGGUUGUAAAGCUCUUUUGUCCGGGAAGAUAAUGACUGUACCGGAAGAAUAAGCCCCGGCUAACUUCGUGCCAGCAGCCGCGGUAAUACGAAGGGGGCUAGCGUUGCUCGGAAUCACUGGGCGUAAAGGGCGCGUAGGCGGACUUUUAAGUCGGAGGUGAAAGCCCAGGGCUCAACCCUGGAAUUGCCUUCGAUACUGGGAGUCUUGAGUUCGGAAGAGGUUGGUGGAACUGCGAGUGUAGAGGUGAAAUUCGUAGAUAUUCGCAAGAACACCAGUGGCGAAGGCGGCCAACUGGUCCGAUACUGACGCUGAGGCGCGAAAGCGUGGGGAGCAAACAGGA